rnacentral:rRNA from 1 species
UACGUAGGGUGCAAGCGUUAAUCGGAAUUACUGGGCGUAAAACGUGCGCAGGCGGCUUUGCAAGACAGAUGUGAAAUCCCCGGGCUCAACCUGGGAACUGCAUUUGUGACUGCAAGGCUAGAGUACGGCAGAGGGGGAUGGAAUUCCGCGUGUAGCAGUGAAAUGCGUAGAUAUGCGGAGGAACACCAAUGGCGAAGGCAAUCCCCUGGGCCUGUACUGACGCUCAUGCACGAAAGCGUGGGGAGCAAACAGG